GGAGGGCAUAGCUCAGUGGUAGAGCUCAUGUUUAAUAUGCAUGAGGUCCUGGGUUCAAUCCCUAGUCCCUCCA